GACGAACCGUGCGAACGUUGUUCGGAUUCACUGGGCUUAAAGGGCGCGUAGGCGGACAAUCAAGUCAGGGGUGAAAGCCUCCAGCUCAACUGGAGAAGUGCCUUUGAUACUGACUGUCUCGAGGGAGGUAGGGGCAUGUGGAACUUCCGGUGGAGCGGUGAAAUGCGUAGAUAUCGGAAGGAACGCCGGUGGCGAAAGCGACGUGCUGGACCUCUUCUGACGCUGAGGCACGAAAAGCUAGGGGGAGCAAACGGGG
rnacentral:rRNA from 1 species